AGUAAGAACAGUUGGCUUUUAAUCAAUUGGUCGCAGGUUCGAGCCGAGCGAAGCGAGACAACAGCGCGUGAGCGCUGGCCCGCAGCAAAAGAAGUCACAAACAAUGAGAACACUCAAACU
rfam:Photorhabdus luminescens subsp. laumondii TTO1 complete genome